UAUCUUAUCCUUGCCGAGCUGGGUGUUACAACAUUGAAGCCUUCUGCAGUGUCCUCCCUCCCUUUUUCUCUCUUUCUCUCUCUCUCCUCCCUUUCUUCCUUUUACUUCUCUUAUGAUAGGCUCGUCUGUACUUUUUUGAUAGAGGUAACCAUUUGCCACACCAUUUUCUGAAGGGCCUGCUCUCUUCCCCAUUCAUUUGUGAUGGCACAUUUAUCCUACCCUAAGCUUUGAUAACGUGUCAGGAUCUUUCUGUCCUGUCCUCUCAAAGAGGUUAAAUAUUUUUUUAUAAUGACUUAUAAUUGACUGAAGUUAUAACAGUUUUCUCAUGUCAAGUAUAAAACAGGCCAGGCGAGGUGGCUCACACCUGUAAUCCCAGCACUUUGGUAGGCCAAGGUGGGUGGAAUGCUUGAGUCCAGGAGUUUAAGACCAGCCUGGACAACAUGGGACAACCCCAUUUCUACAAAAAAAAAUACAAAAAUUAUCCAGGCGAGGUGGUGCACACGUGUAGUCCCAGUUACUCGGGAGGCUGAGGUGGGAGGAUGGCUUGAACCUGGGAGGUGAAGAUUGCAGUGAGCUGAGAUCACACCACUGCAUUCAGUCUGGAUAAUAGAACAAGACUCUAUCUCAAAAAAAAAUUGUAUACUUUAUUGACUCAUUUAUGUCUGAUGGGUAUUUUUGAUUACAAAUUGUUUAGUCACUACUUUAAAGCCUGCUUUAUUUUUUUCUUAAUUUUAUUGACUCAUUUAUGUCUUAGUCUUUUUUAUUACAAAUUAUUUAUUGUUCAGUCACUACCUUAGAGCCUGUUUUAUUUUUUCUUAAUUUUAUUGACUCAUUUAUAUCUCAGCCCUUUUUAUUACAAAUUAUUUAUUGUUUAGUCACUGCCUUAGAGCCUGUUUUAUUUUUUCUUAAUUUUAUUAAAGGAUGAUAUUGAUGAUGAAAUGUCUUACGAUGAUCAUUUAGAGGUUUAUUUUGAACAACUGGCAAUUCCAGGAAUGAUGGAAUAAAGCAUACGAAGUAGAAGGACUGGAACCUCCAGAAAAAGUACUUUAAGUUACCUACAGGUGAUCCUAGUCAGGUAUGAAUUGAUAAGAAAUGCCUGCACCUUCCCUCCUUCCUAUCUUUCCCUUGCCUACAGAAAAUUAAAAGGCAAAACAAUAGACAUCUGCAUAUUCUUCAUUCAGAUCAACCAGUGGCUAGCAUUUGCCACCUUUUGCAGUUUCUUUCUCUUUCCAUAAGUACUUUCUUCUCUGAAUCAUUUGAAAGCAAAUGAAAACAGUAGCCUAAAGUGUCAGUUUCAACCAGAAAAUAACAGCUCUGAUUUCUCAUGGCUCAUACUCGUCUGAAACGACUCAGGUAGAGGCUGAGGAAGGCCGUGUUGUUUGUCUACCUGGGACUAGUAAGUAUAGAAAUAGAAUUCCUUUGUUCUUAAAUUCUACCUUUGACUUUACUUUUAAAAUAUAAUUUCUUUGGUACGAUUUAGCUCAUGCCUAUAAUCCUAGCAUUUUGGGAGGCCAAAGAGGGAGAAUUGCUUGAGCCCAGGAGUUUGAGACCAGACUCUACACACACACACACACACACACACACACACACACACACACACGCACACACGAAGCGGGAAUGGUGGCAUGCGACUGAGACCCCAGCUACCUGGGAGGCUGAGGUUGGAGGAUCAUUUGGACCCAGGAGGUGGAGGCUGCAGUGAACCAUGAUUGUGCCACUGUACUCCAGCCUGGGUGACAGAGCAAGACCCUGUCUCACAAAAGAAAAAGA
rnacentral:lncRNA from 1 species